rnacentral:rRNA from 1 species
CCCUUAGAUGUUCUGGGCCGCACGCGUGCUACACUGAGUGGAUCAGCGGGUCAGGUUGCGCGAAAGUGUUUCCUAAUCUUGAAAUCCGCUCGUGAUGGGGAUUGACGGUUGCAAUUUUCCGUCAUGAACGAGGAAUACCUUGUAAGCGCGGGUCAUCAUCCCGCGCUGAAUACGUCCCUGCCCUUUGUACACACUGCCCGUCGCUCCUACCGAUUGAGUGGUCCGGUGAGGCUUUGGGAUCUGAGCGGAAAGAGCGUUUCGCUGUUUCUGCUCGGAAAACUCAGUCGAACCUUAUCAUUUAGAGGAAGGAGAAGUCGUAACA